GACGAACCGUGCGAACGUUGUUCGGAAUCACUGGGCUUAAAGGGCGCGUAGGCGGCUUGCCAAGUCGGGGGUGAAAUACUUCGAGCUUAAACUGGAGAAGUGCCUUCGAUACUGGCGGGCUUGAGGGAGGUAGGGGUCUUUGGAACGUUCUGGUGGAGGCGGUUGAAAUGCGUUGAUAUCAAGAAGGAACGCCGGUGGCGAAAGCGAAAGGGCUGGACCCGUCUUCUGACGCUGAGGCGCGAAAGCUAGGGGAGCAAACGGGG
rnacentral:rRNA from 1 species